CACGGCUGCCCGGGUGAGCGUGUCGGCGGUGCGGUGUUUGCCCAGGUGUGCGAGUGACGGUCUGGGGCGGGUGGGAGCAGCUGAGCGCCGCGCAGAGCUGGCUGGCUCUGUGUCAGCUCACCUCCCUCUGCCUGAGACCAUAGGUCUGUGCCUGGAG
rnacentral:lncRNA from 1 species